AUGGGGACCUGCAGGAUCUCUUCCUCUGCUGACACCCAGAUACUUGGAGAAAGAAAAACGAUCCAGUGGAAGCAAAUGGAAGGAAUAACGUGCUUCGUGAAAUGCCCAGUAACUGGUUUGAAAGACCCAUUCUUGCAAGGGGAGCUGGAUGCAGAUGGACGUGAAACAGGAGAGGGAGCCAUUGCAUGCUAUCGGCUGUUCUGCUGCUCAGGAACAGCACCAGGAGAUCCGUGCCCUCUUUGCAGUCCAUUUCUUGAACAACUGUGUGUCAUCGGCCGACUGCUCAGGAAACCAUGCAGCUGGGCAGGAAGCACCAGGAAGAGCUCAGCCUCCCUGAACUCUUUGAGGGCACAAAAUGAAUCAACUUGCCCGCGUCUGGAGCCAGUUCUCCGAGCUCCUGCUGUGGAGGAGAAGAGAAGCCGUGCUCCUGGAGACACCCCAGCUCCUGCCAGGCACCAAGAGCUGUGCAAGGAGGUUCAAUGCAGCAGCCAUCACCAGAUGGUGCUGCUGCAUGCAGCCUCGCAAGGUCACCCUGUGCAGGGAUGUUUUGUUUCUUGGAAGAAAACACUGAACUGGGGAUGUUUCUCCACUGCUUGGGUGUCUGGAGAGUAGGCAGGGUAUGUUCUGACGUUAUGUCACUAGCCGGGUCUCUUUGAGAAUGGGUCAUUUGGGUUUUGGCUGGGAAUUCAGAAUAGGGGUGGGUUCAGAUGCUGUUCGAGAUGAUCUGUUCCAGACUGGCUCAAGUGGAUAAACAAAAUUAAUUAUGUUCACAUCAGAUGAGUGCACAGGAUCAAUUUUUUCCUCCAAUGGAAAACUGGCUGGCAAUGUGUACUGCUGCUAAUCAUAAACAUAUCACUAUAGUUCACCUGCAUUUUCUGUAAGCUUUACAAAUGUUGCUGUUUUUUUUAAUGCCCAGGUUCAGGAAUCGUUAUCACAUGAGAAUCCAGUAUGACACUGUGUAGAAAAAGGAAUGUCCCCUUUCCUACUUCUUUUGUAUGUAAAAAUCCAGCGCAGCAAAGAACUUCAGCUUCUGUGAUUAAGCAGAGGAAACAGCAUCGCCUGAACCUUUAACUACCAGAUUUUGUUUUCUCCCUGUUUGUGUCAGUAAAUACGUGAUUACUUCUAACAAGUUGCUUGGGAAGGCUUUCAUCUCUGCUUCCUCAGAAAAAGGUCAGGGGAAAUGGCUAAGCUGAAAAUUGUUCUUCUUAAAUCAACAUUCUUGAUUGCUAUUGCACUGAGCUCUCUGAAGGCCUCUGGGCAGAGUAAAAUCUAUGUUUGAUGAUUUGAAGUUUACAGAGUAGGUGCUCCAGACUUUAUAAGGCCUUCAGCCUCGUCCCGUGGACAUUCAUGGUUGGUGCUUCAAAGUUCACUGUCUUCAGGUCUCCUCUGCAGUCAUCACAGAGUCAUGAUGAAGUACUGUAAGAACACUUACAACACUUUGACCAUCCUGGUCAGUACAGGAUCUGCACAGACUCCAAGGGACAGCUCACGGCUAGGAAGGACAAUGAUGAAAGUGCAAAAUGACAAAUGAUGAUGCACUUCAGAAAGUAAUGAUAUAUAUAUAUAUAUAUAUACUUAUGGUGUCAUGAAAGGAGAGCAGUUGUGAAACAAGAAACUAAAGAGAUAGCAGAUGCACAACUGAUGAAAAGAAACUAAUUUUUUCUGACCAACUCACUGCUGUGGAAUAGAAAAAUCCAUGAAGGCACGAAGAUUUAAAAAAGGACUGGAUCUUUAGGGAGAAGAAAACUACCCAGAAUGAUGAUAGUUAAUGAUGAAGUGUAUUUCAGGAGUAUCAGACCAACAAUUUCCCUGAAUCCUGAAGCAUUGUUAUGGGGACAGGAUACUCUGCUUGCCCUACCUUCUGUUAAAAGACCUGGAGCUGGACUUUGCUAGAGACAUGAUCCUGGAGUCUGUGGUGGCUGGAUAUCCUGCAGCUUGGCAAAUUCCGAAAUUAGACCUGUGUUCCUCCGCAGGAUGACCUGUCCUAACAAAGCUCAAAAAUUCUGAACCAAUUCUUAUCUCCAGCUAAUAGUUAUAGAUCAAGGGACUUAAAAGCCUUGCAGGCUGCUUGUCAAAAGUCUGUUUUUAAGGGUCUGCAAGAUUUUCUGGUAGAACUGUUGCUUCCCUGUUAGGAAUUAUCCCAUUACUGAACCUGUUCCACCUGCUCUCUCCCGAGGAGGGAACAGGAGCCCUGCUCGGUGUGAGGCUGGCAGGACUCUUGGCUUGGUGCUCCUGCACUCAGCUCCUGUGAAAUGUGCAGCAUCUGGAAGGAGAAAAGGAGGAAACAAGGUGGGAAAGCAGAGGCAGCCUGCCACUUAGAAUGUGGAGGAUAAAGGGCCGAGGGCAGAGGAAUAGGCUGAAAAUGUGAAAGAAAGGAAAAAAAUACGAAAGGAACACACAAAAAGAAGAGAGCAGGGAGAUGUGAGAGGGACAGGAAGGAGUGAAAAUAAAAGACAAGGCAGAGGAGGAAGGACA
rnacentral:lncRNA from 1 species